rnacentral:rRNA from 1 species
UACGUAGGGUGCGAGCGUUGCCCGGAUUUAUUGGGCGUAAAGGGCGCGUAGGCGGCUCGGCACGUCCGUUGUGAAAUCGCCCGGCUCAACUGGGCGGGGUCAGCGGAUACGGUCGAGCUUGAGCAAGCUAGGGGGUAAUGGAAUUCCCGGUGUAGUGGUGGAAUGCGUAGAUAUCGGGAGGAACACCAGUGGCGAAGGCGAAUCCCUGGAAAAUACCUGACACUGAGGCACGAAAGCUAGGGGAGCAAACAGG